AAAGUAAAUAUAUUGUGUAUGUUAAUGCACACAUGAAUACCAAACAUGAUUCUCUACUCAGAGGGAGAACUCCUCCCUGCAGGCUGCUUUCUCUGACAGUUUUAACCUUUGACUUCUAGCGUACAGUGAGAGUGUUUCCUGAUCACCUCCCCUUCCUCUUUAAACUUCAGUCACAUCAGUAGAGCUGCCGAUCUUCAUCAGGAGUAGAGACAAUAAGUCAGAUUUCUCAAACUUAUUUUAUAUUUGACAAGAUGAUCUGCCUUUUAGUUCUCUGCUGCCUUUCAGGCGGUCUGGCUCUGGAGGUCCUUCAGUCUCCCUCUGAUGUUCUGACACAACCUGGAGACAAAGUGCAGAUUUUCUGCAGCCAUAAAAAAACUGACUACCGGGUGAUGCUCUGGUACCAGCGCUCACCUGGAGACACAGCUAUGAAACUCAUCGGGUAUUUGAACGUUAAAGCAGUCAACAUGGAAGCCACAUAUGAAGCAGAUUUUAAUAUGACUGGAGAUUUGGGAGGAAACACAGAAAAGAACGGCUCUCUGGUUUUCAAAAGAGUGAAACCAGAUCACAGUGCAGUGUAUUACUGUGCAGCUAGCUAUGCACACUGACUGCUAAUCCACUCUCAUUGAUACAAAAACUCUAAACCAACUCUGAUGGUUUGAUAUUAGAAAAGAAAGAGACCACAAACAGCCAGCUGCUCCAGGUUAUCUGUCACAUCCUGUUAACAGUGAUGCUGUUUCAUCUCCUGCGACCUUUUUAAAUCUCACACAAAGAGGCAACAGCUGGAUCAACGUCGCUCACAUUGAUUUGAUGUCAGACUCAAAAUCUAGUUCAAUAAAGAAACAGAUGAAUGUU